rnacentral:rRNA from 1 species
AACGAACGCUGGCGGCAGGCUUAACACAUGCAAGUCGAGCGCCCCGCAAGGGGAGCGGCAGACGGGUGAGUAACGCGUGGGAAUCUACCCAUCUCUACGGAAUAACGCAUGGAACGUGUGCUAAUACCGUAUACGUCCUUCGGGAGAAAGAUUUAUCGGAGAUGGAUGAGCCCGCGUUGGAUUAGCUAGUUGGUGGGGUAAAGGCCUACCAAGGCGACGAUCCAUAGCUGGUCUGAGAGGAUGAUCAGCCACACUGGGACUGAGACACGGCCCAGACUCCUACGGGAGGCCGCAGUGGGGAAUAUUGGACAAUGGGCGCAAGCCUGAUCCAGCCAUGCCGCGUGAGUGAUGAAGGCCCUAGGGUUGUAAAGCUCUUUCACCGGUGAAGAUAAUGACGGUAACCGGAGAAGAAGCCCCGGCUAACUUCGUGCCAGCCGCCGCAGUAACAC